UAAAAUAAAUGAAUAAAUAAAAGAUGACUAGAAGUAGGUAAAGGGAAGAUGAGGACAAAAGAAUGUUCCAGUGUAGGAAGUAGUACGAUAUAGGCCUUGAGAUAAGAAAAAGUGGUAUUUUUGAGAAACUGAAAAUAUGACUGAAGCCUGAAGAGAAUAAAGUGAAAUAAGUCAAGCAGGCAAUUCAGGUGUGGCUUAGCUGGGUGCCUACAGCUGAAUGUCCCUCCUGAGAUUGAGUCAAACUGUUAGCUGCUAAGGUCUCAUUUGGAGACUCAGUUUUUGGCGUGGAGAGGAAGUUCUCCUUCCAAGCUCACUCAUGCGGUUGUAGCCACCUUUGCUACUCACCAUGGUGGCUUCUCCACAGGGCUGCAGGAAGACACAGCAAACUGGCUUCCCCCAGGGCAGGCAAGUGAUUCAAGAGAACAAAUGAGAGAAUGAGUGUCAAAGAUUGAAAUCAUAGUCUUUUUAUAACCUAAUUUUGUAAGUGAUAUAAUUUCUGUUGUAUUCUGUUUCUCAGAAGGGAGUCAAUAAAUCUAGCAUACAUUUAAGGAGAGGGUAUUACAAAGGAUGUGACUAACAGAAGGUGAGGGUCAUUGGGGGGCAUUUUAGAGGCUGCCACCACAGCCUUCUAAAAACCUUGUUAACUAUGGUAUUUCUGAUUUCAGUCUAAAGGUUAUGGGAAACCAUUAAACCAUUUUAAACAAGAAAGUCAUUUGAUCAGAUUUAUAUUAAAAAAUAUCUUUGUCUGGUGUCAAAAAUGCAUAGGCUAGAGGCUGGAGUAGAUGCUGGAGACCAGAUAAGAGAUCAUUGCUAUAGGACAGGUAUGAAAUGUGGUGGUUUGAACUUUAGUGAUAGCCAGGGAAAUGGAGAUAAGUGGAUUCAUUCAAAGAAUAUUAAAGAUGUAGAAUUAACAGACCUAACUUCAGUGUGGGAGUUGAAAGGAAAGAGUUAAGGAGGAUUCUCAGGUUGCUGGCUAGUGCAUCAGGAUGGAUGGUGGUGCUGUUUAUUGCGGUAGGACUACAGAAAAAGAUUUGCGGGGGCAAAAAAAGGAAAUAGUUAUGUUUUGGACUAAUGAAGGUAAAUGUGAUAAGACAGCCACAUUGACAUGUGGAAUAGGCAGUAGUUUGAUAGGUCUGCCUUCUGAGGUCUAGGCUAGAGAGAUAGAUUCAGGAGCCUUUAGCAUAUAGUUGUAAAUGAAGUCAAGAUAGAGAUUGAAGAUACUUAAUAGUAAGGCCACAAGAAGGCCUAUUUAUUGUGGAGGAAUUCUAACAUUUAAGAGGAGUAGCUGGCAAGAAUUUAGGAUGAAAAGUAAGAGAGAGU